GAUGAACGCUAGCUACAGGCUUAACACAUGCAAGUCGAGGGGAAACGACAUCGAAAGCUUGCUUUUGAUGGGCGUCGACCGGCGCACGGGUGAGUAACGCGUAUCCAACCUGCCCACCACUUGGGGAUAACCUUGCGAAAGUAAGACUAAUACCCAAUGAUAUCUCUAGAAGACAUCUGAAAGAGAUUAAAGAUUUGUCGGUGAUGGAUGGGGAUGCGUCUGAUUAGCCUGUUGGCGGGGUAACGGCCCACCAAGGCGACGAUCAGUAGGGGUUCUGAGAGGAAGGUCCCCCACAUUGGAACUGAGACACGGUCCAAACUCCUACGGGAGGCAGCAGUGAGGAAUAUUGGUCAAUGGGCGAGAGCCUGAACCAGCCGAGUAGCGUGCAGGAUGACGGCCCUAUGGGUUGUAAACUGCUUUUAUAAGGGAAUAAAGUGAGCCACGUGUGGCUUUUUGCAUGUACCUUAUGAAUAAGGACCGGCUAAUUCCGUGCCAGCCGCCGCGGUAA
rnacentral:rRNA from 1 species